GAUGAACGCUGGCGGCGUGCCUAAUACAUGCAAGUCGAACGAAACUUCUUUAUCACCGAGUGCUUGCACUCACCGAUAAAGAGUUGAGUGGCGAACGGGUGAGUAACACGUGGGCAACCUGCCCAGAAGAGGGGGAUAACACUUGGAAACAGGUGCUAAUACCGCAUAACCAUAGUUACCGCAUGGUAACUAUGUAAAAGGUGGCUAUACUACCGCUUUUGGAUGGGCCCGCGGCGCAUUAGCUAGUUGGUAGGGUAAAGGCUUACCAAGGCAAUGAUGCGUAGCCGAAUUGAGAGGUUGAUCGGCCACAUUGGGACUGAGACACGGCCCAAACUCCUACGGGAGGCAGCAGUAGGGAAUCUUCCACAAUGGGCGAAAGCCUGAUGGAGCAACGCCGCGUGGGUGAAGAAGGUCUUCGGAUCGUAAAACCCUGUUGUUAGAGAAGAAAGUGCGUGGGAGUAACUGUUCACGUUUCGACGGUAUCUAACCAGAAAGCCACGGCUAACUACGUG
rnacentral:rRNA from 1 species